rnacentral:rRNA from 2 species
ACGGGUGAGUAACGCGUGGGAAUCUACCCCUUACUACGGAAUAACGCAGGGAAACUUGUGCUAAUACCGUAUGUGGCCGAGAGGCGAAAGAUUUAUCGGUAAGGGAUGAGCCCGCGUUGGAUUAGCUAGUUGGUGGGGUAAAGGCCUACCAAGGCGACGAUCCAUAGCUGGUCUGAGAGGAUGAUCAGCCACACUGGGACUGAGACACGGCCCAGACUCCUACGGGAGGCAGCAGUGGGGAAUAUUGGACAAUGGGCGCAAGCCUGAUCCAGCCAUGCCGCGUGAGUGAUGAAGGCCCUAGGGUUGUAAAGCUCUUUCACCGGUGAAGAUAAUGACGGUAACCGGAGAAGAAGCCCCGGCUAACUUCGUGCCAGCAGCCGCGGUAAUACGAAGGGGGCUAGCGUUGUUCGGAUUUACUGGGCGUAAAGCGCACGUAGGCGGACUAUUAAGUCAGGGGUGAAAUCCCGGGGCUCAACCCCGGAACUGCCUUUGAUACUGGUAGUCUUGAGUUCGAGAGAGGUGAGUGGAAUUCCGAGUGUAGAGGUGAAAUUCGUAGA